ACAGGGCUCCCAAUGGGAGGA
rnacentral:misc_RNA from 1 species